ensembl:lncRNA
ACGAGUUGGGGGGCUGUUGUUUACAACUAAAUAAUGCUCCCCAGCACACUUAAUUUGCUUUUACUGAACUUAUUAUUUUGUUAGAUAAUUUUCUGUUUGCAUUUCUCUACUAAGCUGUGAGCCUCUUGAAAACAAUUUCUUACUGUUUUGUAUCUCCAGUGGUUGGAAUAUAGUAGGUCCUCAUUUUUUUUUUUUUUUGGGAAAAUCAAAAAAUUAUAAAGAUUUUCAAAAAAUCUUUAUAAAAAUAUAACAACAGGGUUGAUGCACACUGGUGGACUUUAAAAAUUAGCAAACGAUAUUACACAAACACUGAUGAUCCCUAAACUGCUAGAAUUUAGAUUUAGUUAGCAAAAACCAUAUUCAACUAUCAACGUGGAUUUAUGUUUUCCACAGAUUAGAUACUCAACUGGCUUUUGGAAAGGUUUCAUAGUGUUUGAAGACUAGACAAAGUUGUAAAAAUGCAGGAAAGAACUGGGUUGUAGGAACACACCGUUUUCGUAGUAUUCCUUUUUACUUUGUAUGCAAGUAAUUCGUUAUGCUACAGAAUUUAACUGUUUCAGUAUAAAAAGCAACUGCUUAGGAAAGAAGUAGAAAAAAAGGGGAAACAAAGAAAAGAGUAUACAGUAUUUCUUUCAAGAGUACUUUGGUUCUCACUGAAUGAAGACUAGUUUUCCUUUCCUCAACUCUAACAGUCAAGCCUUUGGUUGACCCACUGGUAGUGUCCUGAAUGGACAGUCACCUUGGUCCUCGCCAUGACAGCCAUCUGGCCAUUCUGCCUGAUGACUGCUGAUUUCAGAUCCACUUGUCCUGUGGAUGUCCAGUUCCACCAGAGCAGCAGUCUUUGGAACAUUUAUUUGUUGCUCAAGUCCACAGCCACUUGUUCCUGUUUGGGGAACAAUCUUAUUGGUAUCCAUCUAUAAAGACUGUCCAGGUAUUUUCUGGUUGUACCCCUGGUGCUUGGUGCUAACACCCUUGACUGCUGGCUCCUUCGUUAGCUGGCACCCAGCAGCAGGUCACUGUGAUCUGGUGUGUCAGGGUUUACCUUCUGGCAUCAUAAAGAUGCCUCCUGGUUCCAUAAACAUCUGCUGGGCUGAUGCGUCUAUUAGUUCCAAUCUGUGAACAAUUCCACUUGGGCUAGCUUUUCAUUUUCCUUCAUUAAAACGUCUGAAGUUUUCUGCAUACUUGGCUUUAGUGUUAAUGGGUUGAACAGAAUCCUUCUGUUUUAUUGGAACCUAGAGUUAGGGGUAUGGCACAAGGGCCAAAUUAGGCCUGCUGUUGUUAUAAAUAAAGUUUUUGCAACACAACCAUGCUUGUUUCUGUAUUUUCUAUACCUGCUUUGACAAUGAAGUUGUGAGACUCUCUGGCCUAAAAAGCCUGAAGUACUUACUAUCUGGCCUUUUAUGGAAAAGGCUUGCAAAUUCCUGCUCU